GGGAGGGGAGGAAGGCAUGAAGCCAAAAGAGAAGUUGGGUUGGGAUGCAAUCUGAACAGAGGCCUCAGCUGACCCUGGGUGAGGGUCCGAGGCAGGGACAAGGCAUUGGAGGAGGAGCAAGGGAAAACAGAACGUUCCUCUGCCACGCUGGGUGUCCCCCGGGGCUGGCGAUGAGUUCUGCAGACCUCUAAUCUCCAAACGCCGAGCUGCCCACAGCCCCCUGCUUUGGAGCCUGCGGGCAGCGAACAGUCAAAUCUAUUCCGACCUCCAAGGCUGCGGUUCGAGCUGCUGGUCAAUCUCAGCCUCGCGUGAAGGCAAAGCGACAGAGACGGGGUGGGAUCCGGGAGCAAUACCUCGUCGUGGGCACCCUGCAGAGCGUAAGCGUGCAGACACAGAGGCUGCAAAGCAAUGAAUGCCUCUGUGAGGCCAUCCUACACAGGUCGUACUCUUCCUCUGGGGUUUGGAAAAACCAAGCAGCCACAAGAGGCUCCCAGGUGUCCCAUCUGCCGCCUUUCCCCCCGGGGGGAAUCUCAGGAAGGUCUGGUGGCCGCAGCCGUGACCUCCAUCACCACGCGCCCGCGAGUGUGAACGGUCACAGCUGUGGCCCCCACACACACCAGGCUUCACCGCAGCAUCCCCUCCCCGUGCCCAUCCCAACACUCACCAACAACCAGGAGGCGUUGGGGGAGUGUUUAAAAACCAUGAUCACCCAUUAAAGCCUGUAAGGCACAGAAGACCUUCACGCGACCCUUGUCAUCACAAACCAACACGUUCUCAGGGUUCCAGGCGUCAUCAGUGAAUAAGAUACUGCUUAAGUGACAUUUCUAGAUGACCCGGUCAGGCCCGCCUGUUCAUCGACCGACGCCUUAUGGUAGCCACGUUAACCUAAAAAGCUUUCCCAAAUUUA